GCCGCAGCCGCGCGGCCCGCGCUCCCCUCCUCCGCCUCCCGCCGCGACCCCUGCGGGGCGCGGGGUCCCAGCCCUGCCCGCCUGCGAGCCCCGAGCAGACGCCGAGCUGGGGAGGAGGGGCCCAGGGCGCUGCUUCGCACCCCUCCCUGUGGGGCUCGGACUCGAGGGUGGUGCGGCUUUAUUGCCGUGGCCUCGGGCAGGUGGCCGCUGCUCCUCUGGGUUUUUCAAAGACGGGGAAAGUGACGCCGAGUCGCUCAAAGUCACUGAGGAGAGUGCCGAGAGGGAUACAGGUCUCUCUGGACGAGAAGUUUCCUUCUUAGGGUGGGAGUUGGAAUUCCCACGCAUCACCGGGGGUCUCCGGAGAGAAACCUGCUGCCUGGCGCUUCCCGAAGUCCCUUCCAGGCUGCAGCGCCCCGGGUCGCUCCCUCGGCCGAGAUGUCGGGAUGGGAACUCCCAAGGUGGAAAUCGCUUGUUUCCACGAUCAGUCCUCUCCUGCCUCCUAAUUUCUGCUAAAGUACCUGGCCCGUACCUGGUGUUCAUUCAAAAUGCCUGGAAUAGCCUAUUUCUUAUGAAUGAAAGAACUGCUAGGCAACAUUUGCUAAAUCAUUUGUUUAUGAGAGCUGAGUGA
rnacentral:lncRNA from 1 species